GUGUCAGCAGCUGCGGUAAUACAGAGGGUGCAAGCAUUAAUCGGAUUUAUUGGGCGUAAAGAGCGCGUAGGCGGGUUUUUAAGUCAGAUGUGAAAUCCCGGGGCUCAACCCCGGAACAGCAUUUGAAACUGAGAAUCUUGAGGGUAGUCGGAGAAAACGGAAUUCCACGUGUAGCGGUGAAAUGCGUAGAUAUGUGGAAGAACACCGGUGGCGAAGGCGAUUUUCUAGAUUAUUCCUGACGCUGAGGCGCGAAAGCAAGGGGAUCAAACAGGAUUAGAUACCCGGGUAGUCC
rnacentral:rRNA from 1 species